GACAGAGGGGGCAAGCGUUGCUCGGAAUCACUGGGCGUAAAGGGCGCGUAGGCGGGAUGGCAAGUCGGUCGUGAAAUCCUUCGGCUCAACCGAAGAACGUCGGCCGAUACUGCCGUUCUUGAGGGAUGCAGAGGAGAUUGGAAUUCCCGGUGUAGCGGUGAAAUGUGUAGAGAUCGGGAGGAACACCGGUGGCGAAGGCGGCCUUCUGGACAGUGACUGACGCUGAGACGCGAAAGCGUGGGGAGCAAACAGG
rnacentral:rRNA from 1 species